AUAUAUUAUUUCAAAAGUUAGAAAAUAAAGAAGUCUACCAAUAACAUAAAAUGCUAUCCACGCCACACAUGGCACUCUGAUGGACCACAGUGUAUACCAGUGACUGGUGUAGAGAAUAGACACUGGCAGUAAGUUUUUACACAAUUUUCAGUGAUUCUACCAAUUCUGCAGGAUUAGACACUUCUUGCAGCCCUUGACUUAACAGCUGUAGAUGAAAUCUCUCUAGCAACUUGCAUACCAAGCUUCCCCUUCCUGUACAGACAGGAUAGUGGAUUCUCUAGAAGGAGGGUUAACCAAUCCUUCUGGCCCUUAGACACAGCAUAAAGAGUCCAUGGUCACUUAAAUAUCCUGUGAAAAUAUCUUUAGUAGUUAUUUUGUUGUUGUUGUUUGAUUUAGUGU
rnacentral:lncRNA from 1 species